rnacentral:rRNA from 1 species
UGCUAUACAUGCAGUCGAGCGGACCGAUGGGAGCUUGCUCCCUGAGGUUAGCGGCGGACGGGUGAGUAACACGUGGGUAACCUGCCUGUAAGACUGGGAUAACUCCGGGAAACCGGGGCUAAUACCGGAUGCUUGAUUGAACCGCAUGGUUCAAUCAUAAAAGAUGGCUUCGGCUAUCACUUACAGAUGGACCCGCGGCGCAUUAGCUAGUUGGUGAGGUAACGGCUCACCAAGGCGACGAUGCGUAGCCGACCUGAGAGGGUGAUCGGCCACACUGGGACUGAGACACGGCCCAGACUCCUACGGGAGGCAGCAGUAGGGAAUCUUCCGCAAUGGACGAAAGUCUGACGGAGCAACGCCGCGUGAGUGAUGAAGGUUUUCGGAUCGUAAAACUCUGUUGUUAGGGAAGAACAAGUACCGUUCGAACAGGGCGGUACCUUGACGGUACCUAACCAGAAAGCCACGGCUAACUACGUGCCAGCAGCCGCGGUAAUACGUAGGUGGCAAGCGUUGUCCGGAAUUAUUGGGCGUAAAGCGCGCGCAGGCGGUUUCUUAAGUCUGAUGUGAAAGCCCCCGGCUCACCCGGGGAGGGUCAUUGGAAACUGGGGAACUUGAGUGCAGAAGAGGAGAGUGGAAUUCCACGUGUAGCGGUGAAAUGCGUAGAGAUGUGGAGGAACACCAGUGGCGAAGGCGACUCUCUGGUCUGUAACUGACGCUGAGGCGCGAAAGCGUGGGGAGCGAACAGGAUUAGAUACCCUGGUAGUCCACGCCGUAAACGAUGAGUGCUAAGUGGUUAAAGGGUUUCCGCCCUUUAGUGCUGCAGCAAACGCAUUAAGCACUCCGCCUGGGGGAGUACGGUCGCAAGACUGAAACUCAAAGGAAUUGACGGGGGCCCGCACAAGCGGUGGAACAUGGGGGUUUAAUUCGAAGCAACGCGAAGAACCUUACCAGGUCUUGACAUCCUCUGACACCCCUAGAGAUAGGGCUUCCCCUUCGGGGGCAGAGUGACAGGUGGUUGCAUGGUUGUCGUCAGCUCCUGUCC